rnacentral:lncRNA from 1 species
AAAUCAUGGCUCAUCUGAAGAAACGUUAACAACUUAAAAUAUACUCAUUCUUUACAGCCUCAGAACAUUUAACUACAAGUUAUGGUUUUUUGCAAAAUGUUAGUAUCUAAAUAUUAACAAAUUAUGAGAAAUGUUCAGGCAAGGUACUGGGGGUUUUUAACUUCUUUUAUCCAUCAUUACAUAUUUAUACUUAAAAUAAAUGGAAUUAAGUGUAAAGCUUGAGUUAAAAUAACAAUUAAGAAACACAAUUAACAUUUAAACUUCUUUUAAAAGUUAAAAUCUCUAUGACUUUAAAGCAAUUAUAAACUAUAAUUUUCACAGAUCUUUUAAAAUUAUGGUUUUUUACAAUGUUUAUUGAAUCUCACUCAAGUUUUUAAAUUACAUAAAAAUAUACAAGUGCUAUUAUGCUUAAGGAAGCACACCAUGUACUUCACAACACAGGACAAGCUGGACAAGUGUCAAAAUCUCCAAGAAAAUAAACUGUGAAAACUUAUAUGUAUUUAACUAUGAAUUAAGUACAUGAAAACUGACCAGUUUUUGCUCUUUUUCUUCCAGUUCACCUCCAUGUGGCAUCUCAGGAAGAGGAAGAUAUUUUCCCAAGAGAAGGCAAAAGUUGGAUUGUCCUGCAAGUACAGAGAGAGUCAUUGUUGACAAGGUGUAACAGCAACGCAAACAUCUUGUUGGCCAGCCCAGCUUGGCUUUGACCGCUUCACCGAGAAAGGACAAAGUGUGAUCAAGAUACCAAUAUUAAGUGUGAGUACAAAAUCUCAUUUAAGACACACAACAAAGAACUCCAGAACCUUAUCUAGGUUCUGUCUUUAAAUUCUAUUUCUAAAAAAGCUCUCAUUUUAACUUGUUCAAAAAUUAUCUUAUUAGUUGAUCCACUCAUCACGAUUACAGAGUGAUCACUGUACAUGAACAUAACCUGGUGCUAUGGUAGAUUCAAGGUGAUUGGAACAUGGUUCCUGGCUUUAAGGAACCUAUGAUCCAGUAAGGGAGAUAGACAAAUACGCAAAAACAUAUACUGUAAGCAGGCCUAAAAGAAGCAAAAGUUUUUAUGUGCAUUCAUAGGAAGGAGUGAUGAACCAUGAAGGAGAAAUUAGGCAAGUAUUCACAAAGGAAGUGGAAUUUAGAAAUGGCCCCCAACUAUAAGCAGAGCUAGUGGCUGGGUGGAGGGCAUUCAUGAGUGAUGUGAAAGCAUGACUGAAGUCAGUUAAAAAAUAGUGAGUGGGUCUUGAUUUCUAAAUCAAAG